ACGAGAUCCACUACUCUAUAAAACAACAAAAAUCGUCUACGAUCACAGUCUGAUUUACUACACGGGUAUCUUCUUCGUUGAGGCUGAUGGCAGGCAAAGUAAAGCAUAGAACAACAGUAUAGACGUAGUAGCAUACCGAGCUGUUAUUGAAUGAUCGCAAGUAAUCGAGAAAUGCAACAGACUUACAACGAAUGGACAUGCAUACCAAUAAGGACAAGCUCCCUCAAGACAUACAAGAAAAAAAAAA
rnacentral:lncRNA from 1 species